UGAAUAGAAAAUGAAAAAUUUUAUAAAGCUUUCCGGGAAUAUAAAUUCCCCUAAAUGAAGCUUAAUAUUUGAUUCAGAUAUGAAGACAUUUGGAGUAGUAAUCUGGAUUGUAGCAACGUAUUUAACAAUCUUAUAGUUGGAGAGAUGUCUUAGGAAAGUGUUGAAACAGAACUAAGUUAGAGAAUGAUUCCAGGAAAAGGAUAUCUGGGAUGAACAAAUCCAGACUUGCACAAACCUGUCAGAAAUAUGUUUUAUUGUCCAAUACAUUAUCCUCAUAUAAUUAAUAUGAAAUGAAAAUACCUUAUGGCAUGUAAUAUGUAUGCAUGCUGCAAAUCUAUUAAAAAAACAAUCCGUAUAUGGUUUAUUUGUGUUUAUGUCAAUUAAAUACUAAAAAUGGAGUUAAAGUGUAGGUGCAAUCCUAUAAAAACAGGGACAAUUUGAAUCAAUGCAGCCUUAUAUCUAUUUUACUGACUGUUAGAAGUUCAGUAGUGUAAUACUCACAUUGUGAAAAAUCUAGGCAUAGCAGGCUAGUUUUUGAGUGUGCCCAUGGAAAGGGAUAACUUUGGUAUGGUGAAAUUUCCUUCCUUUGUUCCUUCCUUCCUUCCUUCCUUCCUUCCUGCCUUCCUGCCUUCCUGCCUUCCUGCUUUUCUGCUUUUCUUCCUUCUUCUAUUUCUCCUUUUCUCUUUCUGUCUUUCAUGUAAACAAAGUAUUAAUGCAUAUCGUAACAUGGAUCUGAGACACAGGAUUUUUAAAACUGGCUUGAAACUCCUCUAAAAUGUCUUAAUCACAUAAAAUCUCUUAUUUAUGCUACACGUACUGGGAUCAAGCCUAUGCUUUCAUAGUGAGCCUUCUUUCCAGAUAGCCAACAAAACAAGGCAAAAGAGGAUGCUGUGAAAGGAUCAUAAUAGUUAAUUUGUUAUCGCAAAAAGUAUUGCUGUCAUUUUUGGUGUUAUAUUCAUGUAUGGAUCACACUAUAUUUUUAACUCUCCUUUUGGGUGGGAUCUGAAAGAGUCUGUGCAGAGACCUUUUUGUGUAAUGAUCUUUAGUCAUUUUAAAAGCCGCUAUUUUCUUCCUGUGACAGAGGGGAGUGACCUCUUUUUUUGUGAAUCCUGGAAACAGAAUCAAAUAAGCUGAAGACUACAUGAAAGCCUCAACUAAAAGGGAAGCCAGAAAAGAGGGCAAUUAAAUUAUCUGAUAGUUCCACAAGGAGUACAGGCUGUAAUGCAACAAAUUAAAAAGUUUAUAGGUUCCCAGUUUGUGUGUCUGACAGCUGAUUUAAUCAAGAAAUGUGCUACAGAAAAUCUGCUCAUCAGGGACAGCAGAAGAGCAUAAGCCAGGAUAUUCCCUUGGCCUUUACAAUAGGUAAUAGUCUGUAUGGCAAAGUGGGAAGAGUUCUCUAUGUCUCCUUAUAACCAGCAAGUCGGAUGUGAGGUUGAAGGGCAGCCUUCACAGCUGAUCAGUUCUUUGGACAUCCUGUCAGGAUGUGAAGGAUAUUAUCAGUUCCAAAAUCAACAAUGUUAAUGAAUGAUUUUUUUUUUU
ensembl:lncRNA